AUGGGAGGAAUUGUUGAAUGUGGUCUGAGCACUGACACAAAAACUUCCCCUCGCCGUGUGGCCAUAGAGAAAGCUCAGGAGGAGCUGAGGCAGGAAUAUGAUGUCCGUGAAGAACGGAGGAGGGAGCUUGAGUUUUUAGUUAAGGGAGGCAAUCCCUUGGAUUUCAAACUUGGACAUGUAGUGUCGCUGAGUGUACAGUCCACUUCUGUCACAGAUCAGAUAGCCGAACAAAAUGUGAUGAGUGAAGCAAAAGGUAGUUUCACAUUUGCUGCAUCACCUCAUGGAGAUUCGUUUGAUAGUAGUGGCAGACCAGGAAGUUCAUGUCGUGAAGCCAACACAGCUGAUAAUCUUAUGCUUUUAGAUGGAGAUACCAGCAAAAUAGGUGGGGAGAAACUUGUGAAACGCGGCACUAAAAGAAGUGACACACCUCAACCUGAGAUGUCCUUUUGCAAUGAUGGCCAGAAUAACACAAAAGAAGCUGAAGAUUCUGGUCUGUUCCGCCUUGGGGCAAAGAGCCAAGCGUAUGCUCGACGCAGGUCAAAGUCAAGCAGGGAGAAUGUAAAUACUGUGCCUAUUAGGUCUCCACCAGUUCCUCCUUUAAGUUCUCACCGGGAAGAUGCAAAAGCUGUAGUACAAGAAGCCAAAAAUGAUGAUCAUGGCGCCUCAUCCAGUGCGGCUCCAAUACCGAGAAGUUCAAAUGGUAAUGAUAUGUUGAAUAAUGCGCCAAAUAAUCAAAUGGCAGCGAAGAUGGGCAGUGUUCAAGCAAUUCAUGAAGGCAAGCAAGAAGAAAAACAGGAAAUAACGAACAACCAACAUGUUACUCUAGCUCCCGAAAUCUCAUCAAACAGCGUGUUUGAUAAUUCACAGCGUGCUGGAGGUGGCCAGAUGCCUAGUGCAGCUGCUUUUGCCGAAUCUCCGCAUGCUAUUACAAAAGAAGCUUCUUCAAGGACAGCUUCUUUUCCAUCUACACACAACGAAAUCUUUAGAGAAGCACACACUCCUGAAAAGGCAGAUAUCAGCUGCUCUGACAAAAGAAUGGUUUAUGCUCAUGCAGUUGAUAUCGAAAAUGAGGCUUCUGUUCUGCAGCCAGCCAUAGAAACUGCUAGAUCUAAUGAAAAUGAAGUGGAUCUAACUUGUACAGAUGCCACCAAGACUACUGAUGAGUAUUCAGGUAAAAAUGCUAAUUUUGUAUCAGUGAAGGUUGGUGAAAAUUCUGAUGAAGGCUUGAGUAACACAGUACUUGGUGAUAACAACGACAAAAGAGAUGACCAACUGGAAGGCCGUAGCAGCCCCACUGCUGUGGUUGACAGAUGUACUCCUAUACAUCCAGAAGUCUGCACUGCUGUGAAAGAUGAAAUUGAAGUUUGUAACAACGUGGCUGACACGCAAAAGGAUACAGGACGUCCUGCUACUUCUGACCACAACAAAGUGACUAAGGAGGCAGGUUCUGAUUUGGAUAGAAACAACAACUGUUCCAGUGCUUUGAGUGGUUCUGAUAAGUUGGCUUCUGUUGAUGUGCCCCCUGCUUCGCUCACAGAGGAUGUGCCUAAUCCUGUGCUAUCAACUAAAUAUUCUACAUGUAACUUUGACAACGAUGUUACAAAAUGUAGCCGAAAUGCUGCAACAGUUACGAAAAAGGAAUGUGAAGAUCCUAUUAUGAUAAAGAAGGAAUACGAAGAUUCUAUCCUUAGAAGGGCUCGGUUUAUAGAGCUGAACGUUAAGAGAGCUGGUGAACAAGCUCUUUGCAAUAUUUCUUUGGAGAAGAAGCGGAAAAGUCACUGGGAAUUUGUUCUGGAGGAGAUGGCUUGGAUGGCAAAUGAUUUCAUGCAGGAGCGUCUGUGGAGAAGUACAGCUGCAGCCCAGAUGUGCAACUGGAUUGCUUCCAGUGGCCGAGCAGCAUUUGAAGAAGCUAGUGUUCGCAGAAAGCAGAAAUCUGCUGCUAGAAUUCUGGCCAAGGGCAUAAUCAAUUUUUGGCGUUCAGCUGAGACUUUACGAGCUACUAGUGGUGAGAUUCCUAAAGCGUCACAAAUAGAGAAAUCAAAGGGGAUUGAAGAAAUGAAGCCUGCUGGAACCAAAGCAGAAAAAGAACUGGGUGACGAAUCCUUUGAACAAGAGAAGCCUAGGUGGUUUCACCACUCUUAUAUUCAGAGUUACGCUCUUCGGUUUCUUGAGUUCAACUGUAAUGUGUCUGAGUGUCUUUCAUUAGCUGAAGCACCAUCAACUCCAGACAGGCUAAAUGAUUUUGGCAUUUUAAAAGUGCCAGAUGAACUUUCAGAAACAAAUCUCUUUUAUGAGGUAGCCCCUGGUGCAAUGCACGCAUACAGAGAGUCUGUGGGGUGUAUAUCUGUUUAUAAUAAGAAAUUUGUUAACACUGAACACAAGGAGGAUUAUGAGCCAUCUACAUGCGAUUAUGUUCCAGAUGUACAUAGGGAAAAUGCAUAUGAAGAUGAUGAAGCCGAGGCAUACACUUAUUUAUUGCCUGAAACAUAUGAUGGUGGUUUGGCAUUGAAAUCGAGUCACAAGAAGAAACAACAGCAGAGGAUGAAUGGCAGAAGGCCGUAUGAUAAUGGUGUUGACCUGCCUUAUGAUCCAUGCUCGGAGAGCAAGCCAGGAAACCAUCCAUUUUUAUCGAAUAGUAAAAGACCUCCGGAUUUCCUUUCCAUUCCUAUUAAACGCAUACGGACAGCUGCUAGACAGCGAGUUGCAAGCCCAUUCUCUGCUGGUGUUGCCGGAACCCCUCAGUUCACAAGUAAAACAGAUGCCUCUAGUGGAGACACAAACUCCUGUCAAGAUGAUCAAAGUUCAUUACAAGGCGGUUUUGUCCCCAGGAAGAAUGCAGAAAUUGAAUCCACUGUUGACUUUGACAGACAAUUAAUAUAUGAUGGCAGUGAGGUGUCUACUAAGUCUAAAAAGAAGAAAAAGCCUAAGCACCCCGGGUACAAGGCACCACAAAGUGUGACCGAGUCCUAUACCUUGAUGUCUGGAAAGAAGGAUUAUUUGAAGAAAAGACAGGAGGCUAAUCAGUUUGAUUCAAAUGGGAAUAUUGUGGUAAAUGGUCAGCAUGCUUCUAAGAAGACUAAACUGUUACAUCAAGCACCAGAUAUUUCAUUAGAGGCUCUUACACCAGUUGGCCCACUGGCAUCUCCGGCAGCAUCACAAAUGAGUAACAUGGUAAAUCCGACGAAGAUUAUAAAGAUCAUCACUAAUCGGGAUCGUGGAAGAAAAAGUAAAGCACUGAAGAUGACUGCUGGCCACUCCGGUCCUGGAAGUCCAUGGUCAAAUUUCGAGGAUCAGGCUCUUGUGGUGCUUGUACAUGAUAUGGGUCAAAACUGGGAAUUAGUGAGCGACGCACUGAAUAGCAUUGUCCAACUGAAGUGUAUAUAUAGAAGGCCUGAUGAGUGUAAGGACCGUCACAAGCUUCUGACGGAUAGAAGUUCUGGUGAUGGCGCUGACAGCGCAGAUGACUCAGGCUCAUCUCAACACUAUCAAUCCACAUUACCUGGCAUUCCGAAGGGCAGCGCCAGACAGCUGUUUCAGCGCCUUCAAGGACCGUUUGAGGAAGAGACUCUUAAGACACAUUUUGAGAAAAUAAUAUUCCUUGGGCAGAAAUUGCAUCCAUGUCGCAGAAAGGGGGAAAUGCAGGAGCUUAAGCCAAUAAAUCCACUUCAUACUUCUCAUGUUCUUGCACUUUCUCAAGUGUGCACAAGCAACUUCUCUGGUGGCGUUUUGACGCCACUUGAUCUUUGUGACACAAUAACUUCAAUUCCGGAUGCACUUCCCGUUGGUUACCCGGGAUCACAUACAAAUGUGUUAACGCUUCCGAACCAUCACGGUGCAAUUAGUCCUGCUCUUCCAACUUCAAAUGUGAACCCAAGGUUAUCAGGUUCUCCUGGUAUGGUACUAGGAAGCAGUUUGCCGUCACCUUCAACAUUGAAUGCCCCGUCUAGGUAUGGUGUGCCUAGACCUACCUCUUUACAGGGCGACGAACAACAAAGAAUUCAGUAUACUCAUAUGGUUAAUGGCAGAAAUCUUCAGCAACCUGGAGUUUCUGUUCCUGGUGUGUUGCCUGCUGGAGUUGAUCGUGGUGUUCGAAUGAUGCCUGGUGCUAAUGGUAUGGGAAUGAUGACUGGACUUGCUCGAUGUGCACCUGUUGCAAGGCCGGGUUUUCCAAGGAUUGGUUCCCCAGGAAUGCGAAAUAUGGUUUCAUCUGGAAACAUGCUAUCCAGCAAUGGUCAAGGCAUGCAAAACUCGGUAAAUCUUCAACCUGGUGCUGUACCUGGCCCUGGAAAUAUGAUGUUGAGGCCACGUGAUCCGAUGCAGAUGCUUCGGCCUGGCCAGAAUUUGGAAGAGCACAGACAAAUGAUGGUGCAGGAGUUUCAGAUGCAAGUUCCACAGGGGAAUAGCCAGGCUAUCCAUUUCAGUGGCACAUCAUUUCCCCAUGCCGGAACACCUUCACCUGUUCAGUCAUUUCCUGUUCAGCAGUCCCAACCACGUCAGAUGCCACAACAGGCGCACAUGUUUGGAAAUACACAGCACUCUCAUAUCCGAGGGGCAAACCAGUCAAGCCCACAGCAUCAGGCUUAUGCACGGUUAGCUAAAGAGAGACACAUUCAACAAUCCAUGAUGUCCCAACAACAGCACCCACUUUCUGCAGCUAGUGCAGUGCCAACUGUGCAGAAUGGUUCACAAACGCAGCCACAAUCUGCUGUCAAUGCUGUCCCAUCUUCACAAUCACAGCAUAAGAAGCAGCACCCGACGCAACAUCCACAAGAUAGCCCGGUUCUUCCCAAUCAGCCUGCCAAUAGUACAUCACAUAAGCAGAAGAAGCAACAGGCUCAGCAGCAGUUAAGACAAAACCAACAGCAACGACAUCAAGGUAGCCAGCAAGCUAAGCUAAUGAAGAGCUUAGGCCGAGGGAAUAUGACGCAGCAGAAUCCUUCAGUUGAUGGUACUCAACUCAGCGGCAUUCCCGCAACCUCAAAAAACCAAAUCUCGGAUACAAAUAUGAUGCAGCAGGCCCCAGCGUAUUUUACUGGUAAUAAGGGAUUGAUUCCAUCAGUGCCUCAGCCUGGGAAUCAACCAAAAAUGUAUGCUUCUCAUACACCUCAGUCACCAAUACAAUCAUCAGAUAUUGGUAAUCAAGGUUCAAUACAGGGUUCUCCCGACCAGACCUUGUUAGCUUCCCAACAAGCUCCAGUUCAUUCAUCAUCGCAAUUGGCUACACAACAGCAGCAACAACAGCGGCACAUGAAUCCAUCACAUAAUAAUAUCCAAAGAUUGAUGAUGCAACCAAACCGCCAUAUGGACAGCGAUGUUAGGAUCGAGUUGCCUGUUGAUCAAGUCAAUCAGUUAAUUUCGUCUACAUCAGUUGCAAGGAGUACAGACUCAGGUAGCCCAGGUGUUUCAUCUAUACAACAUCGGAAACAGGAUUCAUCUCAAGAUCCAACUGCUGUUACCUCGACCUCGCAGCUAGCUAGCACGCCUCAAGAUAGCUUUGUUGGAAAUGAAGCUUUCUUGUCAGCACCUAACCAAGGCAUGCUGCAAAGGCAAAUGUCAGGGGGUGUUCCUAUACAUGGAAAUGUUAUUGGUACCCAGCGGCAGCAACAGCAGGCUCGGCUGCAACUUCAGACUCAGCAGCAGCAGCAGCAGCAGCAGCAGAGACCUGAUGUUCAAGGCAGUUUAUAUGCUCAUCCUUCAAAUUCGGGAGAAGGAUGA
rnacentral:rRNA from 1 species